rnacentral:rRNA from 1 species
CCGCGAUUCGCCCUUCGGGGCGCACCAGGCGCGAAAACUUUACAAUGCUGGCAACAGCGAUAAGGGGACCUCGAGUGCCAGGAUACAAUCUUGGCUGUCGCGAUGCCUAAAAAGCAUUGCAUAGCAAGGGCCGGGCAAGACCGGUGCCAGCCGCCGCGGUAACACCGGCGGCUCGAGUGGUAACCGCUAUUAUUGGGUCUAAAGGGUCUGUAGCCGGCCGGAUAAGUCUUUUGGGAAAUCCAGCUGCUCAACAGUUGGGCUUUCAGAAGAUACUGUUCGGCUCGAGACCGGGAGAGGUGAGAGGUACUUCAGGGGUAGGGGUGAAAUCUUGUAAUCCUUGAAGGACCACCAGUGGCGAAGGCGUCUCACCAGAACGGAUCUGACGGCAAGGGACGAAAGCUAGGGGCACGAACCGGAUUAGAUACCCGGGUAGUCCUAGCCGUAAACGAUACUCGCUAGGUGUCAGCCACGGUGCGACCGUGGUUGGUGCCGUAGGGAAGCCGUGAAGCGAGCCACCUGGGAAGUACGGCCGCAAGGCUGAAACUUAAAGGAAUUGGCGGGGGAGCAC